AGCUGAGCUCUUGCAGGCUCUGGAAAGGAGGAAGUGAGAGCAGCAUGGCUGACGCUUCCAUGUUGGGUCACCUGAGAGCCUGGCCAUCUUGGGUUUGACACUUGUAGGUCAGCCUAAAGGAUACAUGAUUCUGGCAGCUGCUCAUGUGUUCAGAUAAAGGGUGAACAAAGUUACUGUGUUUGGUAAACAAAACCACCUUUUUUAUUCUAGAAGGUAUCAGAAGAAAUCUGGACUUCAAAUGCCAGAAGCAUCAGAGAUAGGCUGGAGAUUCUAGACUACUGGGGAGAAAAAUGAUGUAUUUUCUGCUUCCUCAUAGCAGCUAUGCACACAUGUGUUCUCUGUGUGACAAGAGACUGACUCCAUCACAGAGGCCUGCAGUGCUCCGGUGGCUCUGGGUGGCCAGGUGAAUAAGUCAGGACCAAGACAGGGUACAUCACAGGCUUGCUGCACCCAGGAACAACAGCACUACAUUUGAGGACCCUUUUAAACAGAGUAAUCACCAAUACAAAGCACAAAAAUGCAAAAAAAAAAAAUGUGUGGAGACUUAACACUGUGAACUUUUGUUCCAAGAACCACUGUAGGAACUUACCAAGAAAACCAAAAUAAUUCACAGAUCCUUUGAAAGAAGUGACAAACUCCAUGAGACAGGUAAAGAACUGUGAGUUCCCAGAGUGGGAGGGGGGAUAGCACACACACACCGUGGAAUACUAUGCAGCCAUAAAACAGAAUGAAAUAAUGGCUUUUGCAGCAUCUUGAAUGGAGUUGGAGGCCAUUAUUCUGAAGUAACUCAGAAAUAGAAAACCAAAUAUUUUAUGUUCUCACUUAUAA
rnacentral:lncRNA from 13 species